ACGGGAUUUUUUCCUUCGGGAAGAAAUGAGAGUAGCGCACGGGUGCGUAACGCGUAUGCAACCUACCUUUUACAGGGGGAUAGCCCGGGGAAACUCGGAUUAAUACCCCAUGGUAUCAUAAUACCGCAUGGUAUAGUGAUUAAAGAUUUAUCGGUAAAAGAUGGGCAUGCGUCUGAUUAGUUAGAUGGUGAGGUAACGGCUCACCAUGGCAAUGAUCAGUAGGGGUUCUGAGAGGAUGAUCCCCCACACUGGUACUGAGACACGGACCAGACUCCUACGGGAGGCAGCAGUAGGGAAUAUUGGUCAAUGGGCGAGAGCCUGAACCAGCCAUGCCGCGUGUAGGAUGACGGCCUUCUGGGUUGUAAACUACUUUUCUACAGGAAGAAAAAGGCUAUGCGUAGCCAAUUGACGGUACUGUAGGAAUAAGCACCGGCUAACUCCGUGCCAGCUGC
rnacentral:rRNA from 1 species